rnacentral:rRNA from 1 species
UACGUAGGUGGCAAGCGUUGUCCGGAAUCACUGGGCGUAAAGGGUGCGUAGGCGGCGGGGAAAGUCAGAUGUGAAAUCCGGAGGCUCAACCUCCGAAUUGCAUCCGAUACUCCCUCGCUAGAGAGUUGUAGAGGAGCUUGGAAUUCUCGGUGUAGCAGUGAAAUGCGUAGAUAUCGAGAAGAACGCUCGCAGCGAAGGCGAAGCUCUGGGCAAUUUCUGACGCUGAUGCACGAAGGCUAGGGGAGCAAACGGG